GAUGAACGCUGGCGGCGUGCCUAAUACAUGCAAGUCGAGCGAAUGGAUUAAGAGCUUGCUCUUAUGAAGUUAGCGGCGGACGGGUGAGUAACACGUGGGUAACCUGCCCAUAAGACUGGGAUAACUCCGGGAAACCGGGGCUAAUACCGGAUAAUAUUUUGAACUGCAUGGUUCAAAAUUGAAAGGCGGCUUCGGCUGUCACUUAUGGAUGGACCCGCGUCGCAUUAGCUAGUUGGUGAGGUAACGGCUCACCAAGGCAACGAUGCGUAGCCGACCUGGGAGGGUGAUCGGCCCCACUGGGACUGAGACACGGCCCAGACUCCUACGGGAGGCAGCAGUAGGGAAUCUUCCGCAAUGGGCGAAAGUCUGACGGAGCAACGCCGCGUGAGUGAUGAAGGCUUUCGGGUCGUAAAACUCUGUUGUUAGGGAAGAACAAGUGCUAGUUGAAUAAGCUGGCACCUUGACGGUACCUAACCAGAAAGCCACGGCUAACUACGUGCCAGCCGCCGCGGUAA
rnacentral:rRNA from 1 species